UACGUAGGGGGCAAGCGUUGUCCGGAUUUAUUGGGCGUAAAGAGCGUGUAGGCGCCACACAGGUCUGCUGUGAAAACUCGAGGCUCAACCUCGAGCUGUCGGUGGAAACCGUGUGGCUAGAGUCCGGAAGAGGAGAGUGGAAUUCCCGGUGUAGCGGUGAAAUGCGCAGAUAUCGGGAAGAACACCCGUGGCGAAGGCGGCUCUCUGGGACGGUACUGACGCUGAGACGCGAAAGCGUGGGGAGCAACAGG
rnacentral:rRNA from 1 species